GCUGUAGCUUAGUGGCAGAACAUAUGUCUUAUAUGGAGAAUGCCCCAGGUUCAAAGCCUGGCAUCUCCA